rnacentral:misc_RNA from 1 species
UCCAACCCCAAGACGCCUAAUUCAGCAAUUGUAGAUGGCUGCGAAGAUCAACACAGAUACCACAACGGACCAUCCUAUGAUAUGCCAUCUACAGGGCAUGUGCAGUGACCUUGUGGCAAAUAUCAUGUCUCGUGUCGAUGGUUUAGCCUUGGCCUCCCUCGCUUGCACCUCUUCUGACCUCCGAGGCAUUGCUCGACACCACCGGCUGUGGGAAAAUCUAUGCCACUCCACAUGGCCUUCUACUGCGCAGGCACAGCAUCUCAUUUCGCCUUCACUCAUCCGCCAUUUCGAUCAAUUCUUCGCUGAUUCCUACCCAUUGAUAUUCUAUGACGAAGCUGCCAAACACAGCUCUCCUAAAGUGGAAACUAGCACUUCUCCUCCUGAUUUUGUGUCGCUCGUAGAUAUUUAUUACAAGAACCAAUGCGUCCUCUCCAGAGUUCUACACGGCAUACCUGAAGCUGUAGAUGUAUUGACCCCCAAACUCAUGGAUGACAACUGCUACAUGAUUUCCAGUGAACGCGCGCAAUGGUUUCUGAAUUGCCCAUUUAAUCUACAACUGCUGGACCUCACAUAUGAUGAGGAAGAUGAUGAUGAUCUUGGCUAUGCUGAUAUUGACAAUGACAAUCUUGGUCACACCAACAACAGUGAAAGAUCAACUCUGGAUGAAAAAUCAGAUAACUGCAAGGAGCUCAUGGAGGACCUCAGAUUGAGUUGGGUGCUGUUAGACAAGAAGACAGGCAAGGCAGUUAAUCUCUCAACCUGGAAGCCAUUUACAGCACAGACUAUCUGGCCACAUGGGGACUAUGUAAUGCAGUUUGGUAGCAUUAUACCCGUUGAAGAGAAAGUGCUGCCUCAAAAGCUAACCAGGUGCACAAUAACAACUAAAUUUAAGGUGACAGAAAUGCAUGGGAAUUUUCAGUGGAGGCAAAUCAGCAUGAGCGUUGAGAAUGUAACAGGCUCCCUGCUUGAUGGAAAGACGAGUUUGAUGAUUCUGAAAAAGGCACUAUACAGCAUGCGAAGCACAAAUUGGCUUAAGGUGGAAAAUGGCUUAAAUCAAUAUGAAAAACAAAAAAGAGGGAUAAUUAGGAGAAAGCAAUUGAAAGAAAAUUUGGCUAACAGGAUUUAUAUCUCGGUUGAGAUUGUAGUUUUUACACUUCUUCAUCAUAC